CACGGCUGCUACUCUGAAACCACUCAUAAGUAUAGUAGAUGAGGUCAAUGCCAUAGUUAUAUAUUUAUUUAAGAACCAGAUGAGUGGUUACAAAAAAAGAGUCUAUCUGAAUAAACUCUAUUAGAAUCUGCUGAACUGAAACAUCAUAGGUUUAAGUAUGACACAUGCACCCUCACAAUAUGAUUGCAGCCUGGAAAAGUCCUGCAUACUGGGAGACUUUCAUUGGCGUGCAUGGAUAAAGAGAAGCAAUGCUUUCCCAUACGGCCAGCUCCAGUUUCCUGCUGCCUGCACUCCAUCCCUGGAGCGUGGACUUUACUGGCAUUGGAACCAGAUUGCGUUUGUCAUGGUGUGGCAUCACAAUUCAGAUUUCAUCUGCCAAACCUUAGCCCUGAUCCUGACCAUAAGUGGCCUGCUGACCUAAAUGGAGCCUUUUUGUCUCAGUCUAACUCUCUUGAUGUUCAUCCAUCAGUUGUACUUUUGCUGGUUUAAAAAAAUACAAGUCUGAGCAAUGUUCCUGGUUUGAAGACACAUUCCCAAGGUUGGUUUUCUCCAUUCUUCUGUUUACACAGAAGUAUAUCUCUGCUCUAUUGAAGCACACUUUCAAGUAAUAUUUUAUUUUGAACUGAAAUUAAAAAUUUCACAUUUUCCCAAUUUUCCCAAUUUCCCAAAAAAUGUUAAAAUGUCAAAGGAAAAUAUUCAAAAGAAAUUUUUUUAUUCAGAAUUUUUGUGGGGGAAAGCUCUAAGACUAACUCUUUGGUCUGUACAUCAAAGCAAUGGCUAAAAUUCAGGGGGAGUGAGUGUGUCUUUUUCCUAGUUAUGUUAUUACAGAGAACCACACUUUCAGAGAACAAUUAAGAUGUCCUUAAAAACAACAUAGGUUCCUAAUAGUGUCUAUAUUUGGUAGUUUAAGGAUUAAGGUAUAGUGUGAAAUAAUGAAAUAACAAGUUUGGUUUCUUUCAGGAUACAAAUCUGUAUAACUUUCAUGGUUUGCACUAAUGGAGUUGACUUCACAUCCUUCCAUUGGAGAGACAGCCAAGAAUUCCUCCAACCCCACAGAAAUAGCAGAUCCAUGUAGAUCUUGUAGGAUGUGCAAAGGCAAAGGGCCGUCUGCCCAGAGCUUCAAUGCUGCUGCACUAGUAACCAACAGCUCCAUUCUGUCCCGUGUUCAGGGCUCCUUCACCAGCUGUUGCCCCUCAAUCCACCUUAGGAAAUGAUGGAUUGUGGGGUUCUGUAUUGCCAAAUUGAAUGUUACUGCUGAAUGGAUUUUGCAUCUGCUGAACCUGAUUUUUGCUGAAUUUCUGUCCUAACCAGAAAAAGUCAGAAAUCUUACAAGAGAGUCUGCUCCCACAGACAGAUUUCUAAAUCUGUAUCAGGAGUGCUGUCUUUUCUGCUUGUUGAUGUAGUGCCUAAGUGUAAUGGGCACUGCUCUUUGACUGGUGUUUUUUGAAUGCUACAGUAGUACAAAUAAUAGUAGUGGAAUAAGGACAAGUAAAAAAAAAGUGUGUUACGAGAUGACAGAGAAUAUAGGAGUAAACUAAGAAGGAAAGGAGAAAUUAGGAAAAUCAGAAGAGAAGAAUUCAGUCCAUAGGCAUCUCUAAGCUUGACCGACCCAUGAAGAGAUCUCCACUCCAUUUGUGGGUAUCGCGCCCUAUACCUGCUGUGAACCACUGCUGGGACUACACAUUCAAGAAGAUGAUGCAGUUAGAACUGUGUUUCAUCAGAAGCUGAGUGUUUUGAGAUUUUUUCUGUCUUUUUAUACCAUGUGAAACAAACAACAAUAAUGACCAAGAAAGAAGAGGACAGAAAUGUUGAUGUCUGGAAGGCAGUACAACUGAAUUACUUUCCCAGAGUCUGGUGAAGAUUGGUUCAUGAGAAACAGUGAAGUAACUGAGGCUCAACCCAGGAAAGACAGGACUGAUACUGGUCGGCUGGGGGAAGCAACUCUGGAUGUGAGGAAAGGACAAUAUUGUUUUAAGUGUAGUCUUUUGCUACUUCUUCCUUCCUGAACCUAAGUUGGUGAUUGGACCUUUUCAUGCCCUAGCUGGUCAGUUUAUGAGAAAAGUCUAACUACCUCUGAAGACAUUGACUUUGUGAAGGCUUAUUGCAAGGAAUGAUGUCUGGAAGAAGAUAGCUGGAUAGUGCAAACAGUGUGUAUUUGACAUUCGUUUAUUGGAGCAAUAUUUUUUUGCUCUGCUAUGUAGAGAAGUGAGGGACAGAGAGAUGGUGCGUGGCAGAAUCUUGACCAGAUGGUUUCAGAGCAUGGAUGAGCCUCAAGAGACUUUCUUCCUGUAAGACUGCCAAGCUCAGCAUGAUAUUCUGAGAUGCUGAGCAAUUUUGAUUUACAUUUUGUAAGGAUGUCUCCUCCAACUACUGGGAGAUAUACUGAUGGAUUAGUGAGCGAUGGAAAGCUUUGCAGGAGGGAAGGACCUAAUAAACAGAAAGUGAGCUAGGAGAGUAUAAUACUAAUUAUGGUUGACAGGUAAGCAAUGAAAAGUCAUGUGGAAAAACAACCCUUCCCUGUAGGAUAUCUUGAAGACCAUCAGUCUUUGGAGAUUCUCUUUGAUUCCCAUCCAUCAUCUGAGCAACGAUGAUGGGCACGGAUUUUUUUUACGCAAAAUUUUGGACAAGGUGGAGGUGGAAGAUGUGAGGGUGCCAUCUCAUCAUGCUCCCUCCUCCACCUCUUCUGCUUUUGGGCCUGCUCCAGAAGGAGAAAUGGUGGUUCUGUAACCUUUACAGAUAAUAGCAUUAAUUAGCACCUUUCAAAGCAAAUAAAAGAUAGUGAGCUACUUCUCCUGCUAAAAUGAGUUGAAAAUGAAAAACUGUAUCUGACUGUGUUUCAGAACAUACGUGCUUUUUUACAAGUUUUAUAAAAAAACACAAGAAGGUGAUAUUUACACGGAAAACUGAGAAAUUAAUUUUUGCACUGAUCUUUCACUUGUUUUAAAAAUUUUGUAGUUAAACUGAUAAAUUCCAAAAUAGAAAGUGAAAACCAAGGGCCUUCCACAUCAGGUAUCACUAAUCAAGUAAUGUAUUUUGUUGUUAUUAAUAUUGAUCUGUUGUAUUACAGUAGCACUUAGAAGCCCUCUCUGAAGUCCAGGUGUAGGUGUAGGAGCAUGUUGCAGGCAGAAGGGAGAGAAAGCAAAUGUGGGAGGUGGCUGACGCUGGAGGAGAAUCCUAGUACUUAUGCCAGCUACAGGGAUUCUCAUUUGCUGAAGCUGUGGGGAAGUCCAUUAGCAACCUGUAGGGGGUUCCAUAAAUUAGAUUAUCUCUCAGAGCUGUCUGCUUUAGGUGAGAGGCUACUCCAUCUGCAGCAGCCCAUAAUAUAAUAGGUGUAAAGGUGGCAUAAAAACCAAUGUAGCCCCUUCCUGCCAGGGCUCUGAAUUGAUUCCCCUGGCCCAAUGUGCCCAUGUAAACAACCGUUUUAAACAAUAAACUUACUCAAGUCUGACAUCAGCUGAUGAGAGUAGAAUGUAAGAUACAAAAUACUAGAAUUAAAAGCCCCCCUCCCCAAAAAAACAACCCUGAAGAACAGAAGUCCCAGUGAGUAUCGCACAGAUGCCUCUGCAUCUUGGCCUUUUGAAUAUUUCUUUUGUAAUGUUUAUGUGGUACAAUAAAGUUUUGCCAUCAUUGAUGUAGGGCUUUACACCAUCAAUGAAAGUCAACAGCUUGAAUUGCAUCUACCUGGAAAUGAAUAGGAAUUCAGUGCAGUUGUCUAAGAACUGGUGUAAGAUGCUCAUUGUGACUAACCGACAGGUUCAUGUGAGUUUUCUUCAUGAGCAGAUUCUAGCAAUAAUCUAGUCUAGAGGUCACAAAGGUUUGGAUAACUGUAGAAACAUCCAAAUCAGUGAAAAAUAGUAAAAAAUGCUUUACCUGAAGUAGGUGAAAGAUAUUUUUGACCCAAGCUUCCAUCUGAUAUUUGAAGACUACACCAAAAUCUAAAAGUGCCCCCAAAUUUUGCCACUUAAAAAAUGAUGGAUAAAUUCCCCAGUGUGGAAGCAUCCCUGAUUUGCCCUCAAGAUAUCUAUUUUGAAAAAGUAGAUUAAUGUGGGUUUCAGUACUUCUCUAGUAACAAACAUGCCAAGGAUAAUCAGUGGAAAAUAUUCUUAUAGUUUUAAGUGAGAGUAGGAUUUGACAUCUUCUGCCCCAACAAUGACCUUAAAAUAAACUUUCCCAAAAUCUCUUUGGGAGUGGUGGUAGCCUUAUGUGUUAUACUAAUCUGUUUAACUGAAUAACAAUAUAAUCAAUUAUCUAAAUAUUAAAGGCUAACAGAUUAAAAACAUCUUCCUUUUGUGAACUCAACACAUGAGCUUUAUUGGGCAGAAUAUGUAUUCCUAUCCCUUGGUGGCUGCCAGCUGCAUGGUAUUCUUUUCAGCCAAAUCUAAGGGAGAAGCACAGUCAAAACAUGGGGCACAACCUCUGCACCUGUCUAGCCCAGUGGGCUGAGGAAGCUUCUGAAGGCAUGCACAGCUGAAUAGGAGGAAGGAGGAGGCGUUUUAGCAGAAGAACACAUGACCAGCCCAUAUCUCUCAUGGCAUGUGGGGAACCUAUGGCAGUGCCUGUUACUUUCAGGUCAUUUUGCUCAUUUGUGACCACAUUAUGCCUGCAAUUAUUUUUUGUCACCACUCUAGAGAAAAAUCUAGAGUUCUCUUUGUGGCCUUUGCCUUAUUUCCUCAUAAGGGAAUAGGGUUAAUGUUCUUUUCGAUUGUGCCAACCAGUAUUUCCCAAUAAACUAAAUUCAGAAAAUGGAUUGAUUUUAAGAUGUAUUUAUGAAAUACAUAAAAUGAAGUAGGUUAGAUUUUUUAAAUCUACCACUGUCCUUAUGGCAAAAACCAGUAUUGCUAGCUUCUUUGUGAGUUCGGCAAUGGUGGCCAGACUGAGUAGGCUGCUCCCGUGCAGAGCUCUCUGUUGGCUAAAAACCAAAUCCCUGGUAUAAGGAAUCAAUAAAGAAGAAAUAGCAUUUUUUAAAGUUUUAUGUAAUUCUUUAUUUAACGCCACAAAAAACAAACUCGUCUUAAUAUAACUUUUUCCUUAACUCACCCCACACAAAAAAAGCUCAGAGCAGAAGUGACAAGAGAAAUUGUCACUUUGAUAUUGACCAAGGAGAAAUUAUACAAGUAAUUGAUGGUCAUCACUCUAGAAACAUGCUGGGCUCCAAUGGAUUUGAACUGAAUUCAAAAAUCUGUCAAACAAAACUCUUCCAAUUGCUCCUUAAGGUGGGUGAUUCUUCCAGAAAUGACUCACAACACCACUCUUACAACCUUGGAAAAACAAAAAGAUCUGGAAGACUGAUAAUCAUACUGAUCAAUAUCACUUCUGAAUCUAGACUGUGAAAUAAGUACUUAUUUACCAGUUGCUAAACCCAUUAUUCCCUGUAGAAGUCUGUCUGCACAAGGAAUAAGCUAGGGAAAUGGUACUUUUAAAAAUCAAGUUAGCUAACAUGAUUUGAAACCCCCUUAGCAUCUAAUGAUUUGGUUAAUGUUACAAUCAUAUUAGCUAGUCGUAUUGUAACCCAGAAAGAAGCCUAAUUUAAAAAGCACCUGAUUUCCUAGUUGGUUCUUCAUGUAGAUCAGGGGUUCUCAAACUGGGGGUCAUGACCCCACAGGGGGUUGCAAGAUUAUUAUGUGGGAAGUUGUGAGCUGUUAGCCUCCACCCCAAACCCCGCUUUACUUCCAGCAUUUAUAAUAGUGUUAAAUAUAAAACACGUGUUUUAAUUUAUAAAUGGGGUCACACUCAGAGGCUUGCUGUGUGAAAGGGGGUCAACAAUACAAAAGUUUGAGAACCACUGAUAGACCCUUAUGGAGAACUCCCAAACCCUCUCUGCCUUCCCUGAUGUUAAAUGUUGCUGCUUCCCUGUUUUCUGCAUGUAAAUAGCAGACUUUGAGUCCAGGUGGUGGCAGAGCAAUAGUAGAAGGACAGAGGAAUUCCAAAGUAGAAAAGGCAAGUACCAAAGGGGACAAAGGGGGGCAGAUCCAGGAACAGAGGCUGGGCCAUGAAGCAGGAUGGGAUUGGGAGAUCUGGUCCUGGCUGGCAAAGGGUGAGGAAUGGUCCUCUUUGUUCUCUGGGUUGUCACUGUUGUCAUUUAAAGGUGUCUCCACUGAAGUUUCUGCAAUGUCUAAAGCUCACACUAUCCUGAAAGAUGGAGUAGGUAGGGGAGGGAUGCAGGUCUGCAAAAGAAAACUUACAAUGAUUACUACUGUUGUACAAUGCCUGGAUGGCUCAUGUUUGGCAUGGACUAUCUGUAUGUUCUGACAAAGGCUGCCUUUGUAAAGCCCCUCCAUAGAUUUGCUAGAGUUACUCUGCUUCUAUUUAUAGAUGACUAAAUGAGUGCUUGUCUGAAUACUGAGCUCUGUGGAAGGCACAUUCUGAUCUGUCAAUCCCAGCACAUGCUCUCUGAGCCUGGACUUUGAUGCACUGGAGUUGUCAGCAGACAGUGAGCUUUUUCUUGUGCAGAGGGAAAAUCAAGUUUGCCAUUGUAUUUAUCUAAGCUCCUGGCUCGGUGGCUACUACUCUUGCUAUUUUUACUCAGCCAUAGUCUGUCACCACUUUUCUGGGUGAACACCUGCAUUUGAUUAUUUGCACACAAGGCCUCAGUUUACUGCGUGUGUGUUGUCCACCCUCCUAAAACCCUCUAAGCUUAUGCUAAGGGACACUGGAGGUUUUCUUUCCAUGAACUGUUCCUAGAGAUGGUAGAGAUACUGCAGCUGUCCAUUUUUCAGAUCUUUGCAUCUAUGUUUGAAGUUCUUCACCUCUCUAAAUGGAUGGGAUAUUAUGUGGACUUAAUGAGAAUGAUGAGGGCUACCAUGAGAGAUGUCUGCUGACUGACCAAUUGACAGUUUCCUCUCUUCAUUCAUGUUCAUCAAUGAGAUAUGGGCAAGGUGGGCCAGAGCCGUGUCUACAAACAUACUUUGACUUAAUUUACAGCAGGCUGCAGAAGGUCCACCAGGGCUAUGCAACUCCCUCCCCGGUGGUUAAUUUCUGUGCACAAAGAACUCAAAAGCUUCCCAGGGAACUUGGCAGCUUGUGUGCAUGUACUCUAUGAGCCCAAUUUUCAAUGCAACUGCUUACACACUAAGGCACUGAUCCAACUCCCAGUGAAGCAAAUGAAAAGGUUCCCAUUCAUUUCUCUGGCUCUUGGAUCAGGCCCUGGGCUCAUUUGACCAUAUGCCUUGUGCAUACACAAUGACUACCUAAUUCACAACUGUAUGUGUCCAAAAGUGGCCUUUGACAACUGAGCCCAAUACUUCUAAAUAGCAAAAGAGCAAUCUGUAAGAUUAGAGUACAAAACUUGUAUUUUCCAUUUUAUUUAAUUAAAGGAAAUAUAAAUCUUCAGGAAACAUCUGGCUUUCCAGAAUUUGUAGGAAGCUCUUGGUUAACUCCCUCUGCAUGUCUUUAGAAGAAUCUGUUAGCUUGAAAUAAAUGUUGUAUGUUAGUAAAGCAAUAAACAUUAUUAGGAAAAUUAUAUUUAAAGAUAAUAUUUACAUUUUGUCAAGUGAAAAAUAUACCUGUUGUUUACUCAUACCUCAUUAGGAAAAGAGGUUACUAAAUAAACAUAAUGAUAUUGAACCAGUAACUGUAAAAGUCUGUUCCUAAAAUUACAGUAAAAUAGCAUAAAAAAUGUCUGCAUGGACUUACAAGUAAAAGCGAUUAAAAAAAAAAUCCUUCAAGUUCUGUUCUAUUCUACUGUGUGUUAUUAGUGCAGGGACUAACUGUGAGGAGGGAAAACUGGAGGAGGGGAUGCUGUAAUUUUGAGUUACUUAGCCGUGUUGGCAAAACUGAGAUUCUAAGCUCUAUAGGAGCAGUCUGAGAAAAUAUUAGGUCUUUAGGUCAGAGAGUUCUCCAACAGCUGAACCAAAGAGAAUUGGAGUAUUCUGUAGAUUCCCAUAACUGAUUUGGGUCAGACUGCAGGCAGAGCUCAGUUUUCAGAUGUUUGCUGCCAUCUAACGUCUAAAUGUUUUACUGUUUGUUUCCACCUUUAUAAAUGUGAGUUUCAUCAGACUGCUGAACUAGAUCAUUAGCGAAAGAUGAUUAGGGACAGAUCAGAACACAGUCCCGCAGUUGAUGCUGCAUGGGUGGACAAUAAACUGAAUGGAUCUCCAUGCAAACUCAGGGGUUUGCUUGUUUCCAGAUCAGGGGUAGGCUGCUUUGUUCUUCGUAGAUUGAAAUCUCAGGAAAUCUGCAGAUCCUGGCUGGUGUUUUUGAUUUAUUGCAAAGCAAUAAGAAUGAGAAGCACUUUUUUGGUAUAAACAGGAUAUUUGCUGAAUACAAAAUUCAAAUGUAAUUACUGGAAAAAGGCUUAAAUGAUAACUGAGUGUAAAUAAGAUUUGGAAACAUCUAAAUAGCCCUGUUGCCUAAAAUAAAAUAUGAAAUAUGAAAAGAUUAAAAUUCACAAAAAUAUUUAUAAUUAUGGCCAACUUUAGUGCUAAAAAUACAAUUGAUGCUCACUCCACAAGUAAGAACAUAUCUGAAAAUCACACAGCAGCAAUUUUUAACUACUUCUCUAAACAGCUUAAAAAUAAAUAUAAAUAAAUACAGAACAAUACCAUCGAUUGACUCAGUGUAUAUUUGUCAGCUUUCAUUUCCCUAAUUUCAGGUACUUUAUAUUUUUAAAGGAAUAUACAGUAUUUCAAAAUUUCUGUACAUCUCCUUUGUAAAUCCCAUGAAUAUUAGUAUUCCUGAUAUCCGAUUGUCCUGAGCUUGAGCUGUGAAAAACAAUCUAGUUAUAAGAUCUACACUAGCAUUUUCAAAAAUGCCUAAGUCCCACUUUCAAAAUGACAUAGGCACUUAGGAGCUCAAAUUUUAUUGAAAGUCAAAAAUGGGUUCUGUUUCAUGUUCUGUAAGCGAGUGCACUCUCAUGGUUAUAGACCUAACAGCCCCUGCUCUUCGCCAGCCUCUUUGUGUUCCCUACUGCUCCUAUCUCCUGGCCCAUUCACCCACCCCCAUGCUUCCCAGGUCCUACCUGUCCCUCUGCUCAUCUUCAGUUCCUGCCCCUCUCCCCCUCUUGUUCCUAUCUCCCAUUUUCUGCUCCCUUCCAUACCAGUCCUCCGUUUCCUGGCUCUGUUCCUGCUCCUAACUUCUCCCCAACCCUGGCUUCUAGUCUCCCCUGCCCAUCUCCCUGCUCUGCUUCUUUUCCCCUUUCCUCCUUUCUGCAUUCAUCACCCCUCCAGAUUCCAGUUGCACUAUUUGCUCCUUAUCCUCCUUGCUGCCUGGGCUCCAUCAGGGGCUGAGAGCACAGGAGACAGUUUCCCCUCUCUCAGUUCUGGGACCACAGUAAAUCCUGGCAACUAGGAGUAGGAAUUGCAGGGAAAGUGCUGCUCAGUUCUGCAUCCCCAGGAUGGAGUACUCAGUCACUCUGUGGGAACAUACAUACACUCUGUGAGGGGAUGGAGCAUAUUCAGUGCAGAAGGAAUCUUUGGAGAAUUUAGCUGCCAUCUAUUGAGCAUGUGUGAACUGAAAUUUUCUAGACUUAUAACUUAGCCAAAUUUGGACAGCUUCUCAUGGAAAGAGCAAAAAACAUCCUUGACACCAGGGAAAAUUCCCUGCCAAAUUUCAAGUCCCUGCUCCAAAGCAUACAAGUGUUAGCAUUGCUCAAUUGCAUGGUUGUAGCAAUUAUUUUAACAUGGGCAAAGCACUGUAUUUAUGGCUAAACAGCUUUGCUGGAGCUUCUAAAAAAAUCAGUGAUGCAAUAUUUCCAUCAGCCCCAGAAAUGAUUUCUAUGGUGUGAAUAACACUAGAAAACAAGGCCGUACAGUCAAACUCCCACAUUCUCUAAUUUUGAAAUGGAAACUAUAUUCCCUUAACCUUUCCACGAUCUUCAGAAUUCUUCUAAUAGAGCAGUCCCUUGCAAAUCACUUCUGUUGAUUUUGAGUCAUUUCCGACUAGGCCCUGAGGACUGUCAUUUAUAAAUAUACUGGGACAGCACAUAUGUCACAUCACAUCAGUGGGUUUAGAUCGUAAACAAUUUGGGACAAGAACCUUCCUGUGAAGUGACUCACACUUUUGGGCACUCAAAAAUGAUUGCUAAUCUCAAUGUAAAAGAAGUAUCAUGGGGAAGGUUUUCUUAAGGGUCUCUAUGAUGGGUUUGUCUAUACUGCAAAGAAAAAAAACCCUGUGGCAGUUUCAGAGCCCAGAUGUGGGUUUGGCUAUGGCUCUAAAAAUAGCAGUGUAAAUGUUCUUGCUUGGGCUGGAGCUCAGGUUCUGAGACUCACCCUCCUUCCCAGGUUUCAGAGCUUGAGCAGAAACAUCUGCACUAUUAUUUUUAGUGCUGUUAUGUGAGUCCUGUUAGCCUGAGUCUGUGGACUCAGGCUCUGAGACUCUCUGCCACCAGUGGUUUUUUUGUUUUGUUUUGUUUGCAGUGCAGACAUACCCUAAAGUCAGAUUUUUCCCAGAAAAAGGACAGCCCCCACCCUUGUACCUGUGCAAACAGCUAGGCACAAUUGUAAUUCCUCUGCUCCUAAGAAAGCAGGACAGAUCCCUCAAAGGGCACUCUGGGGUCCUAAGAUGAAGUGGCUGUCUGGCCCCCACCCUGCCUCUGCACCAGCUAGCAGAAGAUACUGCACCCCUGAAGAUUCAUAGCCCUAGCAUGUUCCAACUUCCUACUAGGGCAGCUCUGCACUGGCUGUUAAGUUUUCAAGGAGUCCAUAAUACAAAAUAACUUUGCAUGAUGGUGAAAUUUGUAUAAUAAUGUUGUAACUCAUGUCCUAGAUGGAGGAAAAAUAAUGGGAAUCAUGAAAAAUGAUGGUUAUGAAGCUAGAGCAGAGCGGCUGAGUGGCUAAGAUUGCAACCUGCUGCUCAGACUGAGAGCAUGGAGGAGCAUCCAUUGUCAGCUCCGUGGGGUCAGGGCAUGCAUGAGUACAGCUGAACUGUUUGCUGUUAGAGCAGAGGUAUGAAGCUUUGUCCAGGGUGUUGCUUCCGGAGCCUGUAAUCUUCUGCACAUGAGCUGUUUCCGUCGUCACCCACAUUAGGGGCCACCGCAGAAGAAGGGUGGCAAGUACAGAUGAUGGAAGCCAGAACAUCUCCUUUGGCGCACUAGAGGGCACUGGAGUAUUGAAGAAGGAAGGUGCUUUGUAACGGACAUUCCAAAAAAUAAUGAAUGUUUCCUGGUAUGAAAAGGGGAUUGGGCGGGGGGGAGCAGAAGAUGGCAGAACAAUGACAAUUUAUUAUUGUGCUUCUGAAUCCUCCUUUAUCUUGAGCAUUAAAGUUUAUAUAGCCCUGAGAGCAUCUGAAUAAACAUAUGUUUAGGCAUGCUCUUUAGUCCCCAAACUGAAUCAUCUGAUUUUCCUUGUCAGAUGUUUGCAUUUUCCUUGAAUACUUUUCAUUGUAAGAAUUAAUAGGUUAGGCUUAACAUACUAUUGAACAAAACUCCCACUGAGUUCCACCAACUCCUAAUACUGGAAUCCUGUGGAACUUGGUUUUUCAGCAUCAGCACAUCACUUAGCCUCUGCAUCCACAAUGUGAACCUAAUUUAGGUUAUUCUUUGUUUAGCACAUGGAAUUUUUUGUAUAAGCGCAAACAGGUUUCAUUGUCUUUAUGCCUUCCCCACUCUGUAUUCCCAACCAUAUCUUUCUGAGUUUAUAGGGAAAUGAUAUCCAGCUCUCUUCAGUUACAGAAAGAAAAUAACAGCCCUCAUUAGAUGUCGUGACACUUCUCUGUUUCUAAAGGAAUUACUCCUCUGCAGAACAGAUAGCUCUUAAGGAAGCUGGUUUUAAGGAGGAUGCUCAGAGGAUUUUAGAAGAUACAGCUCCACCAUGACUUCAGGGCAGUGAGCAUAUUCAAUGUUUGGAAUUGGAAAGACUGAUUUUAAAAGGAGAGGGCAACAGAUAUGAUUGCAGUUCCCUGCAUUUGCAGAGGCAGAACAAGUAACUGGCUAUGUUAUCACUUUCUCCUGGUCCUGUUUGCCUUUCCCCGCCCCACACUGUUCAUUACAUUUUAGUUUCUUUACACUUCCACUUCCUCCUCGCCGCUGCUUUUCUUCUACUUUUUAAUAUAUUUUUACUCUGUUGACCUAUAGGCCUGGGCGAUGGGUAUCAUAGGCUGGGGGAGGCUGUGCCUCACCAACCAGCCAGGAGUGGCCCCAACCAUGCUCUGCCUCCAGACCCUCUCCUGCCAGUUGCCCAGUCCCUAUGUUGUGGUCCUAGCAAGGGCUCGGGCUGAGACUGGUGCUGGGGCUACACCACCCAUCCUCUCGGCGCUCUGGGGCUGCGGAUGCUGGGGCCGCACCACCCCACCUUCCUGGCGCUUCAGGGCUAGGGUGGGGCUGGGGCUGCACCACCCACCCUCCCUGGGCUGGGUGCACUAGCCUAGGGUGGGAGCCGGUGGCCAUGGUGGGGGGGGGCUGUGGGCUUCAGCGGUGUGUGUGUACAGAAGAGGCGGGCUUCGGGGCUAGCCUCCCCCAGCUGGCAGUUCAUGUGCCUCCCAUGCCUAUAGGCCCUGCUCCAUUUUUGUGCUUUAUCUCUCUCCAUUUCCCACUCUUGCCUAACUGCAAGUUCUACCUUAUUUCUCGUUCCUCUCUUGUCCUGUCUGUGUUCUCUGUCUCUACCUGCUUGUAUUUCCAGGCCUUUUGUCUGUCUUUCCAGUCACUUCCUAAGGUCUCCUGUGCUUCACUUCCCACCAAAGACGACCUCCCACCCCAAUCCCUUGCCAGGUCUUGUAUUUCCCCCCCAUUAACCCUCUCUAGGCUUCAGCAUUCAUCCUCUUCCACCUCUCCACUCUCCCUUCCCUUGGCCUGAAGCUUUUCACAGGCCUCCAAGUCCCCUUCCCACUGGGCAAGGAGCUACCAUUGCUAUAGCCCUCCUAUCAUAGCUUUCAUCUUAGCUUCUCUCAGCUGUAGCCGGAAGCAGGUAUGACUUCCAGUUAGUAGCUGGAUGGUGGCUGACAGCAUGAAAGGUAGCUGCUGGGAGGAGAGAUGGCCAAUGGUAAUAAUGCUUUGCAAAACUGAGGGAGGAAAGAGGUGAAUGGCUUGUUGGGUGGCUAGAUAUCCUAUAGUUUCACUGAAACUGGAUCAAAACCUUGGUAUCCACAAAACCAAGAAGGACACCACAGUGACUCCAAAUUGGAACAAUCCCAGUAAACAGGGAUGUCCCAGCAUUCUGUUGCUCAGGUGGCAAUCCAGUGUGGCAAUCAAUGAUUUUACUGAACAGAAAGCUUUGCUAGCUUUGGACAGCAAAGAGUGACAAACAAAUACAAUUAUUUAUGACACAAACAUUUUUAGUUCCCAGAACCUGGAAUUAGAACCUAGAGAAUUAAAGCAUUCGUCUUUCAUUUCUAUAAUCUAUGGUUCCAAUUCCCAACCAUACCAGUCUGUGCACCAGCUUAAGGAAGCUGAAUCAGACUUGCUUUAAACAGUGCGGACAAGCCCAAACAAUGGUAUAGUUGGGAUUAUAAAUCAUUCUCUGUCCUAGGUCUGUCCAAAUUCUCAGAAUUGAGUGUACAAGUUUAAACAUAAUUCCUUGACUCCGGUCAUGGAUCAGUGUUUCUAGCAGUGAAAACUGACAGUAGAAUUUGGGCUUUCUUAAAAUUGGGUGGAAAAAGUUAUAUUAAUAUACAACUAAAGAUAGAGCUAUUUCAAAAUGUCUACAGUCAGCUUCUCCAUUCAUUUAAAUCUUACUGGAUAUUGAGUGGGUUUUCCCAGGUUCACCCAUCUGACUAAUCUCUUAUUUUUGUUGCUGCAUUAAACUGAAAAAAAGACAUACCACUUCCCUAAAUAAAAACUGCUCAGCUUGCAAAGACUAAACAAAGGCUGAUUUCUUGCCGCGUACUGACUAAUCAGUGAGAGGGGAGAAAGAUGCCAGAGCUAUUUUUGUGUUUGGAAUCACAGACUCUAGCUUGUGAUAACAUUAUGCUGGAAUAACUCAUUUAUCACCCAGUCAAACUUGUUCAGUCUAAAAAAGGUUAAUUAAAAAUGCAGGACAAAGAGUUCCCUUUGUGAGGUAGUGAUUCAGCAGCUGGAAAGUUUAGUAAAGUUUCUGUUCCCACACAAAAUAAAACCACAUUCAAAGGAUGGCAAGCCAAUAGGCUGCAUAUAGUAUGGUACAGAUGGAGAACUUUGCUUAGAUAUCAUUCUGGUAUGAAAGAAGUGAUCUGUAAAGAAAGCACCGAUGGCUCAGUUCGGAUUGCUGCACAGAGGAAUGAAUAGAUAUAAGACACCCUGGGAUGAGGUGUACAAACCCCCACACCGAAGAGGAAGGGGCUAAGGAGCCUCUGGGUCUAGGUAGCUCCACCCCAGCACACCUGAAAUGCAUGCACAAGCUGGAGGAGGAGCUUAAAAGGUGACCAGAGUAGCUCACUUGCAAGUAGCUAGUGGACGUAAAUGGAUCUAUACUCUGAAGCUCUGCAAAAAGAGUACUAUGAGAGGUCUAAUUGCUGGGGCUUCUGCCUCUUGUUGGUCUACCCAACUUGCUAGGGCAAAGGAUGCUAGGCAUUUGAAAGGUUGGAGACUUAUUAUUUGAUUUAUUUUGUUAUGUCUUUGCUGUUUCCUGUUGUGUGGAGAGGCUGGUAGGAAGUGACCCAGGGUGCAGGACUCAGCUAUGUACCAUUGGGAUGUGGCUUAGAAUCUGCUGGAGAGGGUGAGCUAGGUAUCCUCUACCCAUCCCUGACAGGGAUGGUGGUGAAAAGCCUAUACCUGCUACUAGGCAGCCAGGAGUAGCAAGACCCUGAUCAGGGAGUCCUGACUCUGGGAAUUUGGCUUGGUGAAGUUUAACUAGCCUUUGUGCAAUGCUUUGGAUAUGUCUAUGCAAUAUUUGGUCUUGAGUCUCCCAGCCUGGACCAACAGACUCAGGCUAGCAGGGAUCAUACCAGUGCUCUAAAAAUAGCUUUGUAUGCAGCACUUUGAAGUCAUGGCUUGAGCUGGAGCUCAGGUUCUGAAGCCCAAGGAGGACUAGUGUAAGCCCUGCUAGCUUGAAUCUGUCCACUCAGGCUGGGAGGCUUGCUCCCAAAUUCCAGAAAGGAUGGAAACAACUUGUGACCCAUCUGGAGGGCUGAGUCACAGAAGGGGGCAAACCACUGUAGGGCAGGGACAAUCUGUCAACAGGUGGUGCCAAGAUAGAAGAGUGCCUUCUGCUCCCUUGCCUGACGACUAGAUGGCAGAGGUGGGGAGUGGACCCUUUCACACACACCCUUGCAUCCCUGCAUAGGCUACCUAAUAAUAAUGUGGGUGACAGUCUGGGGGAGAUAUAGUCUCCUCAGAGCUGCCACACCUGAUUCAUGCCUGUGGGUGGGAUGGGGCAGGAAAUGGGUGGAGCCUUGUUUUUAUCCUACCCCGAAAUGCACUGGCCAAAUAGUCGGGUCAAUGCUCUAGGGCAUUUAUGCUACACUAGGUAUAGAGGUGGCUCAGCGCACUUCUCCUUGGAGCAAGGGGAACCCAGGAGUAAAAAUCUGCAUCCUGGGCUGCUCUUCACAUUUUUGCUCUGGGCUCAUGGGAAAGCCCCACUUCACCCCCAAGGAGCUAAAAAAAAAUCUGUGAACAUGUUUCAAAUUGAGAGUGAUGCUAACAUAUGUGAAAUAUAUGUACCUGUACCUGGGAGACAGUGUUUAAAGCUUCACAAAAUAGAACAAGCUGAUCUGAUUGUGCCCAGUGUAAUUCAACAGGGAAAAUAUGUUCACUUGAUGUUGCUAGGUUACCAGCUUUAUUUACAGAUAGUUAGAAGUUUCCAGAGCAGAGACAUUUGAGAAGCUUUGUGAGCGGAAGUAAGAAGGGAGGGGGGAACACCCUAAGGUAGAUUUUUAUUUUUUUAUUUUAUUUUUUUAAACUACAUUACACACUGAGGCCUAGUGUGAAAGAAUUGGGAAGACAGUGAGAAGUAGUGCAACACAGAAGUAGAAGUGUCACACUCUAAGCAGUUCAGACUUCAGAAGACAUUGUUCGAUAAUGAGAGAGAAAGGGUGUGGGAGUGAGGCAAACAGUGUAAAUACUGUAUGUUGCUUUAAUUGAUUAGUAAAAGAUUAAAACGUGUAACCUGCUUUAGAAAGAUUCAGCAGCCAGAAAAGGAGAAUUGUAGAGAUGAAGCACAAGAACACUACACAAAUAUGCCUGCUAAAGGCAGUGUGUAAACUGGUGUAGCUCCAUUAUAAUCAAUGCAGUUAAGCCAAUUUACCUCAAUUGAAGAUUGGGCCCUUUGUCUUUUGCCAUGUGCAAGAGGGAAGUGAAAUCUGCAGAGAAUGAGGGAUGGAGACUAAGGUCAGGCUUUUUCCCAGAGUGAUGAUGUAGGAUCAGAAAAUAUGAGCAGAAGCCUCUUUUUGGAAGGGACCUAGAGAACUGACAAAGCUAACCCAGAUAGGAUUGAAGACGUGAAUUAACACAGCCAUUUGCUCCUAUCCUAGAGAAAGUAACAGGCAGACUAGAAGGAUCCACAUUUGGCAUGUGUGUGCUGUAAGAGACUGGGAUGAACUUCUCGAUGAGGCUUGUUGGCUGACAUUUUUUUUGCCUGGUCUCAACCUUAAAGUUGAAUGUAGUGUUUAUGUGGAAGAUGUGAACAAAAUCCACCUGGCCAUAUUGAUAUUAUGCCAACUUCAUACAUAUUUGCUUUCUGCUUAAAAAAUGGCUUCCAGAUUUAUUUUUCUCUUGAUUCAUCUUAAACAACUCUUUUUUCAGAUAAAGAAGUUACAUCUGUAUCUGCUCAUAUUUGGGCAUGAUUGUUCUGGGGGCACAGUGGACAGACUCCUCUCCCCACACAAUGCCACACAACUUUGUGAGGUGCCACUUAUAACCCCUAGUCAAGCCAGCUGACUCUGCAGGCCAGGCAAUAGGCCACUCUGUAAAAAUUGUGUCCUGGGCUAGUGAAACAGCUUGGCUGAAACAGAAUUUGUCUCAAUUUAUGGAAUGUGACUACACCAAACACGGAUCAGAAAAUAUAGUCCUACCAGGACAACACUGACGAUUAAAGCUCCUAGAAUCAGAUUUUCAGAGCCACAUACAAGACUUGGACACCUCAUUCUUCUUUAAUCCUUUAGGCAGUUUUGAAAAUGGCAGCCUUAAUACCUAAAUAUGUGAGAAAUAGGGUUUUCUUUGCUUUUGUCUAUUGUUUCCCAAAUGCAUAUUGUCAUAACUAUAAAGGGAAGGGGGUAACAACUGUCCUGUGUACAGUACUAUAAAAUCCCUCCUGGCCAGAGACUCCAAAAUCCUUUUCCCUGUAAAGGAUUAAGA